CAAGUACUCCCUUCGUUCGGAAUUACUUGUCAUCAAAAUGGAUGUGUCUAGAACUAAAAUACAUCUAGAUACAUCCAUUUCAAUGACAAGUAUUUUCGGAUGGAGGGAGUACAAG
rnacentral:pre_miRNA from 1 species